GUGCAUAUUGCCCUGUAAGC
rnacentral:misc_RNA from 1 species